AGGAUGUCUCACCUGGGUGGUAGGUAAAGUGCUGCGGCUGACUUCGUUUCCUCUUUCCGUUGAUGACAUAGAAGUUGACUUUCACGGGCACGCGGAUGUGCUUGUUCCGGUACUCAGGGAUCUCAACAAAAAGCAUGUUCUAGAAGGAAGCAGUUGUCAUGAACCUGACCACAUGUAGCGUGCCUGGAUUCCCACCCAGAGCCCAGCAUGUCUACCCCAUCCGCCCUACAGCAGGCAGGAUGGCUUUGCGCCCUACACUUAUGGGGACAUUUGAUCAAAGGGAGUUCAACUCUUUAUCCCAGCAAGGGGGGCUGAUGGCCAAGUGUGUGGCGAUGUCACCGUCACACAGCACAGGGCCUGGGCUCUGUGACUGCUCAGCUCACUAAGCUUCCAUCUCCCAAAUCUGCUGCCCAUCUGGAGAAGACAAAACCGACAGCCUCUGAAGGAACAGUAGAUGCCCGGAUGAACCCCACCAACCCACAUUCUCCACUGCGCCCCUUUAGUAAAACAUGGCAGUGUGCAGAGUCUCGUGUUCUAGAAGAACUUAGCCUUAGUAGAGUAAGAAGUUGGAGCGACCACAGACUCUGCCGUUAUAAUCUUGUCCAAUCCAAAUGCCUGUUUCUCAUCCUUCAAAUAAAGCCACUGUUCUCCGUGGCACCUGAUUACAUUGA